rnacentral:rRNA from 1 species
AUGAACGCUGGCGGCGUGCCUAAUACAUGCAAGUCGAGCGAACGGACGAGAAGCUUGCUUCUCUGAUGUUAGCGGCGGACGGGCGAGUAACACGUGGAUAACCUACCUAUAAGACUGGGAUAACUUCGGGAAACCGGAGCUAAUACCGGAUAAUAUUUUGAACCGCAUGGUUCAAAAGUGAAAGACGGUCUUGCUGUCACUUAUAGAUGGAUCCGCGCUGCAUUAGCUAGUUGGUAAGGUAACGGCUUACCAAGGCAACGAUGCAUAGCCGACCUGAGAGGGGGAUCGGCCACACUGGAACUGAGACACGGUCCAGACUCCUAAGGGAGGCAGCAGUAGGGAAUCUUACGCAAUGGGCGAAAGCCUGACGGAGCAACGCCGCGUGAGUGAUGAAGGUCUUCGGAUCGUAAAACUCUGUUAUUAGGGAAGAACAUAUGUGUAAGUAACUGUGCACAUCUUGACGGUACCUAAUCAGAAAGCCACGGCUAACUACGUG